UUGCCUACUGCGAAAAUGUGUGCGCCUUUGAAGAGUACUGUAGUUUCAAAAUUUCAUUGAUUAAAAUUUUGAACUACAGUACUCUUCAAAAGCUUUUUCACAUUUAACAUUUCUUGUC
rnacentral:precursor_RNA from 15 species